CAGAGAGUGAGGAAGUGAUCAAAGAUCCAAGAGGCCCUGUCAAAAGGAGAUGGGAGCCUACUUUUCAAACCAAAUCUGGGAUAAUUUGAGCAAAGAGAAUAAGGAUCAUAAUUAAUAAUAAAAUUCUGAAGAAAAGAGAGACUUAAUAGUCCACAGUGCUGAUUGAGAGGAAAAGGAAGAGAAGCAUAUUACUCAUUUAAUUGGCAGAUAAAACUGAAUGUAUUUGUCAUGUACAACACGUUUUGAAGUACCUACACAUUAUGAAAUUACUAAAUCUAGCUAAUUAACAUAUGUAUUACCUCACACUGUUACCAUUUGUUACAUUUUUAACUGAUGACGUAUCUCUCAUUUAUUGGACUGAUAACGUAUCUAUUCCUCAUUCACUGGAUUCUACCCAGAAACAGCACACUUUCACCCUUUCAUGGUACAGCUGCCAUGCUCUUCACAAUGUUAUUAUUCUAGACUAUUACAGUACAAGCUAGCAGUGACCUAUUUAUCUUUUAGGAUCAUGAACAAUAUAUAUCACUUCAUUUCUAGAAACUGAUCUUCAAAAACUAUAACCUACUGCAGGACAGGUGAGGCCAGGGAGGCGGACACCUCUGCCUCCAGGAGGCUACUCUGUGCCUCAAGAACCAAAGAACGAGGGGAGUUCGACCACUGCCUGUACAGAGCCCGAAUGCCCUCCCUGCUGCUGUUCUAAUGCAUGUCCCAUCUGCAAUGUUAGAAAACAAGCUUCAGCUUGAUACAGUGGAACUUGGCAGAUGGCACAGUUUGCUUGUUACAGAACUAAGUAUGAAAAUAAAUUCAUUUAGUAGUGCUCCUUGGAGAAAUGUGGUUCAGAAGUCAAAUAAUUUUAAAAGACCUCUUUCCCAUGUAAGACACCCAUGAAACAAUGCUCUGGUCAUAAUUAGUCUCUAACCUUUCAAAAUGCCUGCUUCAGUGACCUCACCUGCUAUUGAACACGAUGCCUGCAGAUGGUGUGAGGUGGCCAAAGGGUGGAGGACUGGCAGCGGGGGCUGCAGCGGCUGCUGUGACCAGCCACUCACUUGCUGAAGGAUCAGGGAGAGACACUGUGUCUCUCUGGGUCUCGGCUUCUUAACCUGUGAAACCCAGGGGUUGGGGAAAAGCUCGCCAAGCCCCCCUCCUGCUUUGGCAUCCUGUGAGUCUUUAUUGUCCUGGGCUAGCUGGGACCCCUAGGACACUGGGUGGCUCCUUCCACCCCACAUGAUCAUUCUGCUCAACAAGAACUUGCAGGAGCCACAGACCUGCCUCACAAACAUGAGGAAGCGCAUCCUUCUACAAAGCGAGAGGCUUGAGGUCAGUAUGCCAAUAGCAAGAAGACUUGUUCUUGAAAGGUUGAGUUUUUCAAAUGAGUCCUGAAAGAAUUCUACCACACUGCCUAUUUCCCAAGCAGGGAUCAUGGGAGAAAGGAAAUUUUGAAGAAAAUGGUUCUAAUGCCAUUUUGUUAAAAGUACUGAGAGAUUUACAAUGAUCAAGUAAUAUGCCAGUUCUUUCAAAGGAUGCCAACAUCUGAUGCCAACAUAAUUACAAGUUGGAAAAAUGUGUAAUGAAUCAGGCGGCUCAUAAUUUCCCUUAGAAUAUGUAUGCACAACUUAUUAAAUGACAUAAAAAGCAAAGAGUCACGG
rnacentral:lncRNA from 1 species